rnacentral:tRNA from 1 species
GAGGUUUUAGCUUAAUUAAAGUGUCUGGGUUGCAUUCAGAUGAUGUGUGUUAUAGUCUCACAGGCCUU